rnacentral:siRNA from 1 species
GAACAUGAAGGAAGCUCAGGAUCG